rnacentral:lncRNA from 1 species
UUGCACAACAUGCAACCCUAUUUCUCACUAUAAAUACACCCCUAAGCAAAUUAGUUUAACAUAAAAGAAAAAAAAAAAGAAUAAAAGAGUACGUAUUCUCUCACCAAUAAAUAAAAGAAGAUAUCAUUUCAAUUCAGAAUAAAAAAGAUGAAGACCCAGAAUGUGAUGUUUGUUGUGUUGGUGGUGUGCCUUGCCGUGUGCGUGGGCACUUCCUGGGGCCAUGAUUUCAUUGAUGACGCCAAAACCAAAGCAGGGCAGGCCAAGGACACCGCCGUUGACGCUGCCGCACCAACGGUUAACUCCGUCAUUGAUGCCGCAGCACCGACCGUCGAUGCCCCCGCACCGACCAUUGAUGCUGCCGCGCAGAAGUCUGGGUCUUUUGCUUCAUGGGCUUAUGGCAAAAUUUCCCAGUAAUCCUCUUUCUCUUUCUCACACAUGCUAUACUAUCUAGAAUAAUUAAAAUAAAAUAUUAUUGCCGGAUAAGAAAUAAAUUUUAGUUUAUGUUAUACUAAAAUUAAUUUUUUUUAUAAAAAAAAGACCAGUGGAAAUAUUUACUAAUGAUUUGUCGUUUAACUAAUAUUUUCUUUUUAAUGGAAAUUAAAUUAUUAGUAUGAGGAAUGCAAAUUUAGUAAUUAUCUAUGCUGAUAAUAUUUUUUUUUUAUGAUUACUAUGAUAAUAUGAUAUAUCAUAAUAACACAUGUUAUGGUUAGUAUAAAUAUUAUUAAUUGUUACAUUUCUAGUUUUCUUGUUCAUAUAAGGCCAAACCUUGAGUAAUAUAUCUUUUUUCACUCAUUAGCUUACAAUUUUGUUGUUGUGAUGAUAGUGGCUUGGGGUUCAAAUCGGGAGACCAAGACUAAGUAAGAGAGGACUCCAAGUUCAAUGGAUUAUUAAGGGACUCCUAAUAUGUUGCUAAUUGGAUAUGUUUUAGCAAUGUUUUGACCGUUAUAUCAGUAACGGUUUAACGAGUCUGUUUUCUUUUUUUCUUUUGUUCCCACGACUGUGGCUGAAUUCCCCAGUUGCUGAGGUUCUUUUGACUCGGGCUACGUGAAGCCUAAUAAAACCUUUUUUUUUUUUUACAUUCACAUUUUCUCUUCCACGUCUUAUUUAUCUUUCAUCUACUCCCUUUUUAGCUUGUUCUUCAUUUGAUUUUCUCCAUCAUAACACUUUAAC